rnacentral:miRNA from 1 species
UGGACAGAGAAAUCACGGUCA